rnacentral:tRNA from 1 species
GGAGAGGUGUCCGAGUGGAUUAAGGAGCACGCUUGGAAAGCGUGUGUGCAGCUAGAUGCUGCACCGAGGGUUCAAAUCCCUCCCUCUCCGCCA